GGGGGGGGGGGGGGGGGGGGGGGGGGGGGGGGGGGCGGGGGGAGGGGGGGGGGGGGGUGGGGGGCGGGGGAGGGGCGCGGGGGAAGCUGGCUUUGGGUGCGGGACAACCACUGGAAACGGUGGCUAAUACCGGAGGCGCCGAGAGGGGCAAGAGAAAUUGCCUGAAGAUGAGCUCGCGUCUGAGUAGCUAGUUGGUGAGGUAAAGGCUCACCAAGGCAGCGAUCAGUAGCUGGUCUGAGAGGAUGACCAGCCACACUGGGACUGAGACACGGCCCAGACUCCUACGGGAGGCAGCAGUGGGGAAUUUUCCGCAAUGGGCGAAAGCCUGACGGAGCAAUACCGCGUGAGGGAAGAAGGCUCUUGGGUUGUAAACCUCUUUUCUUAGGGAAGAACAAAAUGACGGUACCUAAGGAAUCAGCAUCGGCUAACUCCGUG
rnacentral:rRNA from 1 species